rnacentral:rRNA from 1 species
AACGUAGGACGCAAGCGUUAUCCGGAAUUACUGGGCGUAAAGCGCGUGUAGGUGGUUGCAUAAGUCACUGUUGAAAGCUCCCGGCUAAACUGGGAGAGGUGCGGUGAGACUGUGUGGCUAGAGUAUGGGAGAGGGAUGCAGAAUUCCGGGUGUAGUGGUGAAAUGCGUAGAGAUCCGGAGGAAUACCAGAGGCGAAGGCGGCAUCCUGGCCUAAAACUGACACUGAGACGCGAAAGCAUGGGGAGCGAACGGG